rnacentral:rRNA from 1 species
CAGCCGCCGCGGGAAUACGUAGGUCCCGAGCGUUGUCCGGACUUAUUGGGCGUAAAGGGAGCGCAGGCGGUUUAGUAAGUCUGAAGUUAAAGGCAUUGGCUCAACCAAUGUAUGCUUUGGAAACUGUUAGACUUGAGUGCAGAAGGGGAGAGUGGAAUUCCAUGUGUAGCGGUGAAAUGCGUAGAUAUAUGGAGGAACACCGGUGGCGAAAGCGGCUCUCUGGUCUGUCACUGACGCUGAGGCUCGAAAGCGUGGGUAGCGAACAGGAUUAGAUACCCGCGUAGUCCCUGUCUCUUAUACA